rnacentral:lncRNA from 1 species
AAAUAUUUGGAGGGAAAUGUAGCGUACUACACAAUAACAUCGUCGGCUAGCAUGCAUAGCUAUAGCUACCCCAUCCAGAAAUCCUACAUAACUCUAGCCAACCAAUUACACAGCCGAUUAAAUGAGACGCCCACCUAGGCCUUGAACCUACCCAUGUGGCACAUAUACAUCCCCAUGUACAGGCAGGUGCUUUAGGAUGUGAUGCCCACCUUCGUACUUAUUACUCAACAUAUGCAUAUGAAUCGCCUGCUGGUCUACAUUUCUUCAUGCCUAUGCAUGCAUGCAUGCAUGCAUGCAUGCAUGUGCAUGCAUAGGCAUCCAGCAGGCUAUCGGAGCCAUGUACAGGAGCUCGCAAACAUUAACGACGAAACUGCUAUAUGUCUGUAUCAACCAAUAAAGCUCAUUCAUGUCAGAACGGAAUAGUGCUAGUUACGUUUUAUAGAUGCUUUCCAUUGGCAGUGAUACAGACUGAAGGCGGACGAUCCUCCCUUGUUUUCCUGCUGUGUGCAGGACUUUACGCAGGACCUUUUCCCUUGAUGUCCUAUGAAAUCGUAAAGACAUGUACAUGUGCUUCAGUAGAAGACUGCGAUUGCAGCCAUACAAACAUCCCAGCAACACAUAAAAUGCCCACAUUGAGGAUUGAACUCAAGACCUUUCCCUUACGAAGGGAACGCUCUACCACUAAGCUAUAUAGGCGCUCACAAAUCGUAAAAUGUUCAGAUAUAUAGCUCUACUAGGCACACAUACAUGGGUAUCCCAUCUAUGUAUGGGUAGGUGCGUACAUUUUAGAUACACAACACCUACUCACACAUUGUGUUUCAGUGCAACCCAUCGCUAAGUCCCGCAUCUGGCCUCUUUUUGCCCUGAGUCAGUCAGUCGGUCGGUCCCUUGGUUUGUCCAUAACGCAUGAUAAUGGUUAUUGGCUCAAUUAUAUGUGAUGAGACAAGAACCAAUACCAUUUAACAUCCGCCAUAUCCAACAUAGAAUCGAUUUGACAAUCAAGACCCAUACGAGCGAAAUGUCUUCCAUGUCGAUCAUCAUGCACUGAAAGACCGGCCGUACUGACAUAUCUGAUCCGUUUUGACUUGAAAGUUGACUAAAGCUGUGGAAUGGAGCCUGAAGGCAGGUAGCCGUGCGUCACCACACCCUAUGAUAACAAGUGGAUGCACCAGGAUAAAAUAACAAUGGAUCUGGUCUGAGAAUGCAUGAAUGCCUUCCAUGAAUGGUAGGUGAUCACCAUUGACCAGCCUCACCUAUGUAACUGCUCAACCUACUUAUUAUAUUAUUAGAUGUAACCACACGUACACAGCAUGCAUGCUAUGUGCAUGCGGGUAGGAAUGCAUAUGCAAAGUGUGUACAAGCAUGCUGAUUGUUGGUAAGGUCCUCAUGACAUGGUUGCACAGUGCAGUGCCCAUACCACAUACAGGCUAUCGAUAGGGGUGAUAGAAACCGCCCCUGCGGUCUGCGCAGGAUACAUCAGGUUGGGGUGAAAAACCUACUUCUGCUUCGCUGCAAGAGGAUUUCUGCACGCUUCUGACAGACACUCUUGAGUCAAGGAGGGUCAAUACCAGGGCCCCUCCGUGAUCGAACCGGAGACCUGCUGAUCUGCAGUCAGCUGCUCUACCACUGAGCUAGAGACCCUUCGUUUCGUCGCUGAGGAGGAAGCUGUCGUGCGCGUGUGCCGGGGAGUUGCGGGAAUUGAACCCACAACCUCUCGCACCCUAAGCGAGAAUCAUACCACUAGACCAAACUCCCAAACAUGCCAUUGUUGUACGACACAAACAUACCACAACAACGCAAGCCGUACAUACACACACAUGAAAACGCACGCAUGAGACUCAUAUCUUGUCACCCUGGCGUCACCGGCCCCUGAAACUAGGGCAGAAGAAUGUAAGGAACGCUAUGCAUGUAUACAGAGGUUUUGUGCGCAUGAAUGAUUUGUGAUGCGAAUAAACCCCCCACAUCCAUGUUGUGCAAACAUCGGAGGUUACUGCUCUAUCUACAUUAAAAUCCUACCCUGCCGCACUUGGCCCAUCCAGCUACUAACUCAUAGGCAGGGCAUAUAGCAGCAUCUAUCUGUAUCCUUACAGAUCUAGUAGAUUGCAGCACGUGGCAGAUGCUCGCCUGGUGGCACGACUGACCUUGCGGAAGCGUGGAGCUUAGGGGCCUUGCUGAGGCGGGAAGGAGUCCAACCCAGCGACAGGCACUAGCUUACAUAGACAAGAUCGAAGCAACUAAGACGGUGGCAGCAGAGUCUUGGACUCCGAACACCAAGUAGUCGUGAUACUGAAGCUGGCCAGAGCACCCCGCCCGGGUAGCUUAUAUCUUGGCCUACCUGCCGGACGAAUCUCUACUACGGUCCUGUCGUACUGUACUAGGAUACUGUCGAUGGGGCCCGGGGCCCCAGCCUGUUAGGUGUCGCUACGAACAUCCGAUAUGUCCGUGUCAUGAUAUUGUGUGACAUGUACAUGUACGGAACUUGAGUCGAAUCGUCAACGGAAUUAACAGGUGUUGUUAUUAAUAAUCGUUAAAAUAUUUGGAGGGAAAUGUAGCAUACUACACAAUAACAUCGUCGGCUAGCAUGCAUAGCUAUAGCUACCCCAUCCAGAAAUCCUACAUAACUCUAGCCAACCAAUUACACAGCCGAUUAAAUGAGACGCCCACCUAGGCCUUGAACCUACCCAUGUGGCACAUGUACAUCCCCAUGUACAGGCAGGUGCUUUAGGAUGUGAUGCCCACCUUCGUACUUAUUACUCGACAUAUGCAUAUGAAUCGCCUGCUGGUCUACAUUUCUUCAUGCCUAUGCAUGCAUGCAUGCAUGUGUGUAUGUAUGUUGUUACAGGGUGGUUAACUUCGCCAGCGGCCCCCUUUCCCGGGGCAGUCCCUGCUCUCCCCUGCUAGAGGGGCACCCUAAUCCGUCACCCCAUCCGACUUCAGAAUGUAUUCGUUGGGUUCGGCAACUCACCACCAGCAUCCAACCAAAUCUAGCGGAUCAACGGCGCAUCAACUUAGUUCCUGGUCAGCUCGCAAGUUGAUAUUAUCACGUCCUACACCGUCCAUAGGAUGGGGGGCCACCUCCCAUUACAUCACUCCUCAAACACCCGAGGAGCCGGCAGGCGGAUUUGAACCCGGGUCGACUGGGUCGACUGGGAGCAGAAGUCAGGCCUUAACCUCUGCCAGCCGCCUGCCUAUAUGUGCAUGCAUGCAUAGGCAUCCAGCAGGCUAUCGGAGCCAUGCAUAGGCAUCCAGCAGGCUAUCGGAGCCAUGUACAGGAGCUCGCAAACAUUAACGACGAAACUGCUAUAUGUCUGUAUCAACCAAUAAAGCUCAUUCAUGUCAGAACGGAAUAGUGCUAGUUACGUUUUAUAGAUGCUUUCCAUUGGCAGUGAUACAGACUGAAGGCGGACGAUCCUCCC